rnacentral:rRNA from 1 species
AUUGAACGCUGGCGGCAUGCUUUACACAUGCAAGUCGAACGAGUGGCGCACGGGUGAGUAAUACAUCGGAACUGGUCCUAUCGUGGGGAUAACUGAUCGAAAGAUCAGCUAAUACCGCAUACUAUUGGAGCGGCCGAUGUCCGAUUAGCUAGUUGGUGAGGUAAAGGCUUACCAAGGCGACGAGCUGUAGCUGGUCUGAGAGGACGACCAGCAACACGUGGACUGAGACACGGACCAGACUCCUACGUGAGGCAGGAGUGGGGAAUUUUGGUCAAGGGGGGCAACCCUGAUCCAGCCAUGCCGCGUGCCGGAUGCAGGUCUUCGGAUUGUAAACUGCUUUUGUCAGGGAAGCGGUACCUGAAGAAUAAGCACCGGCUAACUCCGUGCCAGCAGCCGCGGUAAUAC